GCCUUUGUGGCUCAGUGGCAGAGCGUCAGCCCAAGCACCAAAGGGUCUCUGGUUUGAUUCCCAGACAAGGGCA
rfam:Myotis davidii contig126737, whole genome shotgun sequence.